UACGUAGGGGGCGAGCGUUGUCCGGAUUUAUUGGGCGUAAAGAGCUCGUAGGCGGCUAAGCAAGUCGGGUGGGAAAUCUCCAGGCUCAACCUGGAGCCUUCGCCCGAUACUGCUUUGGCUUGAGUCCGGUAGGGGAGUGUGGAAUUCCCGGUGUAGCGGUGAAAUGCGCAGAUAUCGGGAGGAACACCAGCGGCGAAGGCGGCACUCUGGGCUGGUACUGACGCUGAGGAGCGAAAGCGUGGGUAGCAAACAGG
rnacentral:rRNA from 1 species